rnacentral:rRNA from 1 species
GGUGAUACGUAGGGUGCGAGCGUUGUCCGGAUUUAUUGGGCGUAAAGGGCUCGUAGGUGGUUGAUCGCGUCGGAAGUGUAAUCUUGGGGCUUAACCCUGAGCGUGCUUUUGAUACGGGUUGACUUGAGGAAGGUAGGGGAGAAUGGAAUUCCUGGUGGAGCGGUGGAAUGCGCAGAUAUCAGGAGGAACACCGGUGGCGAAGGCGGUUCUCUGGGCCUUUCCUGACGCUG